UUAAAGGUGGCUGAGUUAUAGGCGUUAGAUUGUAAAUCUAAAUACGAGUUUCCUCUCUUUAAA
rnacentral:tRNA from 1 species